GGGGCAUUAGCUCAGUUGGCUAGAGCGCUACACUGGCAGUGUAGAGGUCAACGGUUCGAAUCCGUUAUGCUCCACCG
rnacentral:tRNA from 1 species